rnacentral:rRNA from 1 species
UACGAAGGGGGCUAGCGUUGCUCGGAAUUACUGGGCGUAAAGCGCACGUAGGCGGAUUGUUAAGUCGGGGGUGAAAUCCUGGAGCUCAACUCCAGAACUGCCUUCGAUACUGGCGAUCUCGAGUUCGGGAGAGGUGAGUGGAACUGCGAGUGUAGAGGUGAAAUUCGUAGAUAUUGGGAAGAACACCAGUGGCGAAGGCGGCUCACUGGCCCGUAACUGACGCUGAGGUGCGAAAGCGUGGGGAGCAAACAGG